AUGGGCGUCUACGAGCUCGUCCGGAGCGAGGACGCCGCGGGCCCCGCGCUGGAUCUGGAGGCCGGCCGCUGCGGCCCCGCGCCGCCGGCCAAGGCGUCUCCGCCGGCGCCGCGGCAGCAGCGGCUCGUCUCGCUCGACGUCUUCCGGGGAAUCACCGUGCUGCUUAUGAUCAUCGUGGACGACGCUGGAUCGUUUCUUCCGGCAAUGAACCACUCUCCUUGGGAAGGUGUAACCAUAGCUGAUUUCGUCAUGCCUUUUUUCCUUUUCAUCGUUGGGGUUGCUCUAGCUCUGGCGUACAAGAGAGUGCCGGAUAAAUUGGAUGCAACUCGAAAGGCAACACUUCGUGCACUGAAGCUCUUCUGUGUUGGUCUUGUUCUACAAGGUGGAUUUUUUCAUGGAGUUCGUAGCCUUACUUUUGGGGUUGAUAUUACACAAAUACGUUUGAUGGGUAUACUGCAGAGAAUCGCAAUAGCUUAUCUUGUUACAGCACUCUGUCAGAUUUGGCUCAAGGGAGAUGAUGAUGUAGAUUCUGGACUUGAUUUGAUCAAGAGAUACAGAUAUCAACUACUCGCAGGCUUACUCAUCACAAUCACCUACAUGGUUCUCUUGUAUGGUACCUACGUUCCUGACUGGGAGUAUCGGAUAUCAGGUCCUGGUUCCACAGAGAAAACGUUCACUGUCAAAUGUGGUGUACGAGGUGACUCUGGGCCAGGCUGCAAUGCGGUUGGCAUGAUUGACCGCAAAAUCUUAGGCAUCCAGCAUCUCUAUGGUCGACCGGUUUAUGCGCGAUCCCAGCAAUGCAGCAUUGAUUCACCGCAAAAUGGGCCACUCCCUCCUGAUGCACCCUCAUGGUGCCAGGCCCCUUUUGAUCCUGAAGGGCUUCUCAGUUCUGUGAUGGCCAUCGUCACCUGCUUGAUCGGUCUCCAGUACGGGCACAUAAUUGUACAUUUUCAGAAACACAGGGAAAGAAUCAUGCACUGGCUUGUCCCUUCCUUCGGCAUGCUCGUCCUGGCCUUCGCAAUGGACUUCUUCGGAAUGCAUAUGAAUAAGCCAUUGUACACCGUAAGUUACACUCUGUGCACCGCUGGUGCUGCGGGGCUCCUCUUCGCGGGGAUCUACACACUGGUCGACCUCUACGGGUACCGUCGCCCGACUAUCGCCAUGGAGUGGAUGGGGAUGCAUGCCCUGAUGAUAUUUGUCCUGAUUGCGUGCAACAUUCUACCCAUCUUCAUUCAUGGCUUCUACUGUGGGGAGCCCAAUAACAACCUUUUGAAGUUCAUUGGGAUUAGGGCAUGA
rnacentral:rRNA from 1 species